rnacentral:lncRNA from 1 species
CACAGAGGCUGAGAUCCCAGGCAAGACCCAACAGCAUCUGCCUGCCUUGCAGGAUCUUAAAGCUGCAGCCCAAGUUAGUUUCGAACUCACGGCGGUCCUGGCAUCUGAAGGGCAGCAGCACACCCAACUUUUCUUCUUGUACUUCUUCUCCCCCAUUCAUGUAAUCUUUGCUCGGAUGCCGAUGACCCCCAUUUCAGAGAUGCGGGAAAGGAGGCUUUGAACAAAUCAGUCACUCAACCAAGGAUGUACACCUGGCCAAGCCUCGGGCUCUUCCUCAUUGCACCUCUUCACCUAUGUGCAAGCAACAGAUCUUUCCAACAGUCUUCUGGACAUUCCUAGAGGUAGCUCAGCCCUUGACCUUUUGGCUACAAUCAAGAGUAGCAACAGAACUGAAGUUGAUGGCACACAG